rnacentral:rRNA from 1 species
UACGUAGGGGGCAAGCGUUGUCCGGAAUCAUUGGGCGUAAAGAGCGUGUAGGCGGCCCGGUAAGUCCGCUGUGAAAGUCCAGGGCUCAACCCUGGGAUGCCGGUGGAUACUGUCGGGCUCGAGUCCGGAAGAGGAGUGUGGAAUUCCUGGUGUAGCAAUGAAAUGCGUAGAGAUCAUGAGGAAGACCAGUGGCGAAGGCGGGUCUCUGGACAGUUCCUGACACUGAGACACGAAGGCCAGGGGAGCAAACGGG